GACGAACGCUGGCGGCGUGCUUAACACAUGCAAGUCGAACGGAAAGGCCCUGCUUUUGUGGGGUGCUCGAGUGGCGAACGGGUGAGUAACCCGUGAGUAACCUGCCCUUUACUCUGGGAUAACUUCAGGAAACUGGGGCUAAUACCGGAUAGGAGAUCCUGCUGCAUGUUGUGGGUUGGAAAGUUUCGGCGGUUGGGGAUGGACUCGCGGCUUAUCAGCUUGUUGGUGGGUUAGUGGCUUACCAAGGCUUUGACGGGUAGCCGGCAUGAGAGGUUGAACGGGCACAUUGGGACUGAGAGACGGCGCAGACUCGUACGGUAGGCAGCAGUGGGGAAUAUGGCACAAUGGGCGGAAGUCUGAUGCAGCAACGCCGCGUGCGUGAUGACGGCCUUCGGGUUGUAAACCGCUUUCGCAUGUGACGAAGCGUGAGUGACGGUAAUGGGUAAAGAAGCACCGGCUAACUACGUG
rnacentral:rRNA from 1 species